AGAAGAAGCUAUCCAGUUUAAUUCGGUUUGGUUCGUAGGCAGGCUGAUUGAUUCUUUUAGGGAACAGACAUCGAGACUGCGGAACCUAACUGAGUUUUGAGAACGAGUCGCGGCCGAGGCUGAGUCAACUCGGUCAACUAAUGGUUUCACCAUUAGAGAGGCAAUUAGUUGGGAGCAAAAGACUUUGAUCAAAGCUAUUAUGUGCAAGGUCCUCCAAAUUGGUUUGGAAAAAACGUUGGAGAGUACUGAGUAGAUGAACAUGCGUCACAUAAAAACGGUUAGGAUCGUUUUGAGUAUCUCUGGAGGAGAUGUUUUUAAGAAGAAUUUUCUAGUCUUCGACACAUCAAAUAAAGAAGUAAGUGGAUGCUCUUAGUUCUGUGUUUUCAACAUAUAUUUUCGGGUGUUUUAAGUAUGUGUAUCUGGAAUUUUGAUAAAGAGUUUUUAAAACAGAAAGCUUGAUCAUUUUAAAAUAGUAUUAAAGAGUGAUAUUUUUUUAUUAAAAACUGUUACUCGAAUACACAUAUAGUAAGUAAAUACCACCUAAUGUAUAUGAAUAUAUAUGAUGAUAGUAAUUCACCUAUCGGUUCUUUCACAUGAACCAUAUAUGUAGUAGUUUGCCAUACAACUAGUUCUUAAGAAGGAUGUUAUCACAACUUCACAAGAUAGGUGUAAUGAUGUUCGUUCUGGUAGACUUGCUUUUAGUAUAUUCUCCUCAAAUGAGAUACAUUGCAAAUUAGCAUUUGUAUUUAGUGGUUAUUAUUGAUAAUAUUGUAUAAUUGCAUAACGAC
rnacentral:sRNA from 1 species